AAAUUGAAGAGUUUGAUCAUGGCUCAGAUUGAACGCUGGCGGCAGGCCUAACACAUGCAAGUCGAGCGGAAACGAGUUGUCAGAACCUUCGGGGAACGAUAACGGCGUCGAGCGGCGGACGGGUGAGUAAUGCCUAGGAAAUUGCCCUGAUGUGGGGGAUAACCAUUGGAAACGAUGGCUAAUACC
rnacentral:rRNA from 1 species